rnacentral:rRNA from 1 species
UAAUGUGGGUCAAGAUAAUAAGAGUUUACGGUGGAUGCCUUGGAGCCAAAAGCCGAAGAAGGGCGCGGUAAGACUGCGAUAAGCCUCGGUGAGCUGUCUGACAAGCUUAGCCGGGGAUUCCCGAAUUAGGAAACUUAUUACGGGUUGUGCCGUAAUAUCCGCAUAGCGGAAGGUAAGUGGGAGAACUGAAACAUCUAAGUAUCCCGAGGAAAAGAAAUCUACCAGAGAUUCCCUUAGUAGUGGCGAACGAAAUGGGAAGAGCACAAACCGAUAUUGCUUAGUGGAUUGAGGUCCUAUGUAAUGUCGGGGUUGUAACACUCGCCUGCCUGAACCUCAGAUAAGGUAAGGAGUAAAAAAUCUUUCAUUUAGUUGAACGCAUCUGGAAAGAACGACCAUAGAAGGUGAUAGUCCUGUAAGCGAAAAAUGUUAGACUCCUGGCGAUGUUGUUGAGUACCACGGGACACGUGAAAUCCUGUGGGAAACUGGGGGGACCACCCUCCAAUGCUAAAUACUUUUGGCUACCGAUAGUGAACAAGUACUGUGAGGGAAAGGUGAAAAGUACCCCGAGAGGGGAGUGAAAUAGACCUGAAACCGUAAACUUACAAGCCGUGGGAGCCGAUUUCGAUCGGUGACCGCGUGCCUAUUGAAGAAUGAGCCGGCGAGUUAAUUUAGGCAGCUAGGUUAAGAGAUAUAAGUCUUGGAGCCGUAGCGAAAGCGAGUCCGAAUAGGGCGCGAGUUGGGCGAAGUUCAGCUUUCGAUGAAGUUGAUUUAUGAUUCAAGUUUUCAUUUUCGGAUGAGAGUGAGAAGAAUUUUGAUACAGAUUCGCAUGUUGGAUUUCAUUUAUGCCUGAUGUGUUGUCUGGAUUAGACCCGAAACCAGGUGAGCUACCCAUGGUCAGGUUGAAGCCUCGAUAAUAUCGAGAUGGAGGACCGAACCCGUGUACGGUGCAAAGUGCUGGGAUGAACUGUGGGUAGGGGUGAAAUGCCAAACGAACCUGGAAAUAGCUGGUUCUCCGCGAAAUGUAUUUAGGUACAGCGUUAAUAAAGUCUUGGGGAGGUAGGGCACUGGAUGGGCUAGGGGGCAUUAGCUUACCAAACUCAACCAAACCACGAAUGCCUCAAGAUAAUUAUUGGCAGUGAGACAGUGGGGGAUAAGCUCCAUUGUCGAGAGGGAAACAGCCCAGAUCGCAGGCUAAGGUCCCUAAGUAUGUGCUAAGUGUGAAAGGAAGUGGGAAUACUAAAACAGCUAGUAGGUUGGCUUAGAAGCAGCCAUCCUUUAAAGAGUGCGUAACAGCUCACUAGUCGAGGAUUCUCGCGCCGAAAAUGUAACGGGGCUAAAGCACAUCACCGAAGCCGCGGGACUUUCGUUUUAACGGAAGUCGGUAGGGGAGCGUUGCUAGCGCGUUGAAGUCAGACUGUGAGGUCUGGUGGAGUGCUGGGAAGUGAGAAUGCCGGCAUGAGUAGCGACAAUCCUGGUGAGAAUCCAGGACACCGAAAGCAUAAGGUUUCCUACGCAAUGCUGAUCAGCGUAGGGUAAGUCGGGCCUAAGCCGUAGCGUAUAGCGAAGGCGAUGGACAGCAGGUCAAAAUUCCUGCACCGCAGACAUAGCGUUUUAAAGCAGAGGGGGGACACGGAAAGAUAGGCGGAGCGCACCCAUCGGACAUGGUGCGUCGGGCCCUGAAGGCCAAGCUGGGAUAGGCAAAUCCGUUCCAGCGUGAUGAGCUGAGGGGGUUGGAAACUCCAGGGCUUAUGCCCGGGGGAAUUCCGUUGAUUCUAUGCCGUCGAGAAAAUCCUCGUUGCAAGUUGUUUCAGCGUCCGUACCGCAAACCGACACAGGUAUGUAGGGGUAAGUGUCCCCAGGUGAACGAGAGAACCCUCGUUAAGGAAUUCGACAAGUUGACCCCGUAACUUAGGGAUAAGGGGUGCCCGUGGGGUGAAGGCUGCUAGCCAGCCGGAUGCCUUAGCGGGCGACACUAAACAGGCUCAGGCGACUGUUUAUCAAAAACACAGGUCUCUGCUAAACCGAAAGGUGAUGUAUAGGGGCUGACACCUGCCCAGUGCCGGAAGGUUAAGGGGAUGGGUUCGUUCGCUUGCGAACAAAGCUCAGAACCGAAGCCCCGGUGAACGGCGGCCGUAACUAUAACGGUCCUAAGGUAGCGAAAUCCCUUGUCGGGUAAGUUCCGACCCGCACGAAUGGCGUAACGAUCUGAGCGUUGUCUCAACGAAGGACUCGGUGAAAUUGCAGGACCGGUAAAGAUGCCGGUUACCCGCUGCAGGACAAAAAGACCCCGUGGAGCUUUACUGUAGCUUGGCAGUGGACUAGGGUUAUGAAUGUGUAGGAUAGGCGGGAGACUAUGAAGCUUUGACGCCAGUCGAGGCUGAGUCGACCUUGAAAUACCGCUCUUUUAUGAUUUUGGCCCUAACCCGAUUUAAUCGGGGACCCUGUCAGGUGGGCAGUUUGACUGGGGCGGGCGCCUCCUAAAGAGUAACGGAGGCGUCCAAAGGUUCCCUCAGGGUGA